UACGUAGGGACCGAGCGUUGUCCGGAUUCAUUGGGCGUAAAGAGCUCGUAGGCGGCCACUCAAGUCGAAUGUGAAACCUCGAGGCUUAACCUCGAGCCUGCAUUCGAUACUGGGGGGCUAGAGUCUGGUAGGGGGAUCUGGAAUUCCUGGUGUAGCGGUGAAAUGCGCAGAUAUCAGGAGGAACACCGGUGGCGAAGGCGGAUCUCUGGGCCUGUCCUGACGCUGAGGCGCGAAAGCUAGGGGAGCGAACAGG
rnacentral:rRNA from 1 species